rnacentral:misc_RNA from 1 species
UAAGCAACUCUAUCUUCUUGGAUGAUAGCAAUAAGAUUGAAGCUAAGAACUCUAUUCUUUCCUUCAUAUCCUUGUGAACACCUUAUAGUCAUCAAUUUCAGCUUGUAGGCUUUGAAUUUCAGCCCACAUAAAAUCUCAAUAAAAAAAAAAUACUGGGUCUGUGAUUAUGCUUCAAAUAUUUUUUUUCUCCUCACAAUGGAUGUCAAAAAUGGGAUUAGGAAAUUAAUGGUAGAGGGUUCUGCCAAAAUUGCUGAUGUAACAGGUUGCUGAUGUCACAGGCAUCAGUGAUGUGGCCUAACCGCAAGUGUAUGGG